rnacentral:lncRNA from 1 species
ACCUGGAUUAAAUGACAUAAUUAAGACAGGUGCAAACAAAUGCAGAGGGUUUAAACGUUUUAAUAGGUACCAAUCUUCAUCCUUACCUGAAACAACAGUGUAACAUCACAAUUUAGAAAGACACAUAUUAGUAUAAACAGUUUCACAACUCAAGGGCUACUCAAGAAGGGCAAGCUGACAAUCUCAACGUCUCCUUGGUGCUAAAAUCAAUGAAUUUGUUAAUAUGAUCAACAGAAAUGUUAUGGACAGUAAACAAAGACUGUAUGGGUUUAUAAUGAGUAGGCAAAGACCUUGGCAGAUUUCCUGUCAUACAUACACCAUUCAUAGUUUGGAUUGACAAUGGAUCUGUUUGAUUUUUUUCAUCAAAACAGAUUUAUUUCAUAAAAAUAAAGUUAAUGUGGUGUAUCAAAGAAACUUAGGUUGGCUUGUAAAUGUGUGAUACUUGGCAUUUUUACAUAAACCUUUAACAAUACUUGAGAUACUACAAGAUGCAACACUUUUUUAAUCACAAUGUAUUUAAAUCCUUGCUGGUGUACGGAAACAGUGAAAAAUAUAGAAAUGGCCUUUUACUGUUUUUUUUCUUCUAAAGUCCUGCACCAAGUCAGGAAUGUUGCAGUUGUUAUAAAAUAGUUCGUUUCUAUGUGUGUUGACAUUUAAUUUCGUUGCACUUUUGUGUUUCUGUUGUUCCUUUGUUUUCCUCCUAUAGUUGAUGUGUUUGCCAUGGUUUUGGUUUGUUACCCAGAUUUGUUUUCUCUCAAUCGAUUUCUGACUUUUGAAUACCAGUAUACUACUGUUGCCUUUAAUACCCAUAAAAUAUAUCAUCAUAUAUACCAAACCAGGAAACUUAUAUGCAAGUUUUCACGCCUUUGUACCAUGACUGGAAGGGCAUAACUUCAUAAACUGUAUGCAUGUUGACUGAAACCAUUCACUAAAUAACAAUGACCUAUCACAGGAACUUAUUUGAAUAUGGAUGAUUGCAACUUCUGAUAACUAUAUCAUUCAUGCCUUGUUCUUUACCAUCUGUUGGAGACAAGACAAACAAUGUGACAUUUUAUUUCACUGUAAUUAAAAUGAGUAACUACCAGGUAACAUAUAUCCAUAAGAUAGUCUUCAGUUAAAGAAAGCCUGCUAGGGGUAAAUAUCUUCUUAAAUUAAGGUUUAUCAUGUUUAUACCUUACAAUUAUAAAUAUCUAUCCCACUUUCAAACAAAGAAUAAAACCUGGUAAACAUAAUCCUAGAUUGGUACAAGCCACCUAAAUUUAAUAUCAAAAACGUAAAUAUAUAUUCUAUAAAC